AAGUCGUAACAAGGUUUCCGUAGGUGAACCUGCGGAAGGAUCAUUAUCAAAACAGCGGACUUCGGUCCUUGCUGCACCCUUGUCUUUUGCGUACCGUAUGUUUCCUCGGCGGGCUUGCCUGCCGGUUGGACAUUAUCAAACCUUUUUGUAGUUGCAAUCAGCGUCAGAAAAUAAACAAUAAUUACAACUUUCAACAACGGAUCUCUUGGUUCUGGCAUCGAUGAAGAACGCAGCGAAAUGCGAAAAGUAGUGUGAAUUGCAGAAUUCAGUGAAUCAUCGAAUCUUUGAACGCACAUUGCGCCCCUUGGUAUUCCAUGGGGCAUGCCUGUUCGAGCGUCAUUUUGUACCCUCAAGCACUGCUUGGUGUUGGGCGUUUGUCCUGCAAAGGACUCGCCUGAAAGCGAUUGGCGGCCAACGUACUGGUGGUAGAGCGCAGCACAAUUUGCGUCUCUCCCUUCUACGUUAUCGUCCAUGAAGCCUUUUUCAAACGUUUGACCUCGGAUCAGGUAGGGAUACCCGCUGAACUUAA
rnacentral:rRNA from 1 species